AUAACAGGCUACUCCGUAAAGGUUACUUGAACACAAGCACUACGAUAAUGUCACAACUGACCUGCUAACAGAGACUGCUAGCAAAUGACCACUGGGCGGAUAACACAUACAGUACUGAUACACGGAGCAGUGAGAUAUCCCAUGCUUCUGGCAGGACUCAGCAAGAUAGGAAAUGUCUGGAAUGACAGUAACUUGUUUGGGCUGCCAUCAUGAAGCUAGACUUCAUUUAUCAUUAACUUUAUUUUUGGGCUGCAAUCCCUAAUUCUACUGAGAUAUAGAAGAGACACAGGAGGCAGAAGCCACAGAGAAAAAACACCAAAAGGCUUCAAGUACACUGUGAUCGUCUAUUCAAGUCUUUCUCUGUUGAUAAAGUUUUCCAAAAUCAUAAUAGAAGAAUCUCAAAAUAGUGACAAAACAGUAACCUUCUUUGUUGAUUAGCUAACCUGGCUUCUGCGGAGAUUAGAUUCUGGGCUGUGUGUCUGAAACAUUGUCUACUAUCCUGGCCUUGUAUUCUUAUCAAUAACAAAAA